rnacentral:piRNA from 1 species
AGCUGUGCCCGUUCGUCUGUGGGCUGCUGUA